AUUGAACGCUGGCGGCAUGCUUUACACAUGCAAGUCGAACGGUAGAGGGGGCAACCCCUUGAGAGUGGCGAACGGGUGAGUAAUGCAUCGGAACGUGCCCAGUCGUGGGGGAUAACGCAGCGAACGCUGUGUCAAUAACGCAUACGAUCUCUGGAUGAAAGCGGGGGGCCGAAAGGCUUCGCGCGAUGCGUGUGGCCGAGGUCAGAUUAGGUAGUUGGUGGGGGAAAGGCUCACCAAGCCAACGAUCUGUAGCCGGUCUGAGAGGACGACCGGCCACACUGGGACUGAGACACGGCCCAGACUCCUACGGGAGGCAGCAGUGGGGAAUUUUGGACAAUGGGCGCAAGCCUGAUCCAGCAAUGCCGCGUGCAGGAAGAAGGCCUUCGGGUUGUAAACUGCUUUUGUACGGAACGAAAAGGUCUGGGUUAAUACCCUGGGCACAUGACGGUACCGUAAGAAUAAGCACCGGCUAACUACGUGCCAGCAGCCGCCGUAA
rnacentral:rRNA from 1 species